ensembl:lncRNA
GUCGGCCUUGGGAGAGGCAGAAGGACCGCGACGACAGGGACUUCCGCAGUGGAAAUGAAUGACAACCGGCACAGGGAGCGAGACCGCGAACGAGGGCGAGAUCGGAAUCGGGAGCGAGAGAGAGACAGAGAAUGGGAUAACGAUAAGGAAAGAGACAGGGAGCGCGGCGGCUGGGCGCCUCCUACUUCGCAACCUUCUCCUCCCUCUUCCCAGACCAUCCCAACCACUGCUCCCUCUACCCACACCUCUGCUAAACCUGCCUCCGUCUCAGCCCGAGUCGCAUCCUAAACCUGUCCUGCACGAGCCGAGACAAGCCGAACCACAGCCGGAAGCGAAGCCACCCCUGCAGCCGCAGCCUGACAGAGAGAGUGCAGGCGGCCAGGACAACAAAGGCACCUUUAGUGACAGUGUUCACGACCUGGACUCUAAACCCGAAACCGACUCGGAACCCACAGCCGAGCCGUCUCGCCCCUCCCCCGCCCGCUCCCACAGCCAAGCCCCUAAACGAUACGCAAGCCCCGGAAGUUUCCGCUUCCCCGCUCGUGGCUGCAGGCGGCGGCGGCGGACAGACCGCGCCGAAGGAAGAAGCCGAGACUGGGACUGAGCCUGAGCUAGUGAAAACGGACACUGAGGAAACAUAAUCGUCACUCAGUAGAUGAAUUCGACAGAGUCGGAUUGCUAGCUGACCAAAAGAUGAUGAAGACGACGGUUGUGCAGAUUGUGAAGCUCUAGCUGUGUAAUGAUUACUAGAACUGGUCAGGGAUGGGGAACUCGGAGAGCCAGUACAGCAUUCAGGGGUCUCGGAGCAGUAGCUUCACGCUCCCUAACAGACAGAAGUCCUAUUCAGUGAAGCUCCGUUCUUCCAAAGAAGGCUCACGAGGUUCCGGGUACAAAUCCAGAACGGUAUCGCGCGGCUGUUGUCUCAGCACAAGGCGUCCGGUCAGUCGUCCAUGUCGAGGCACCAUGACUACGUCGCCAAAGGAAGAGAAGCGAAGAGAAGGAUCAGCGCUCAGUGGAGCGGUUCUCCGAGAGGACGGGCGACGUCUGAGGACGGACGGGUUUGUAACGGUCACG